CUUCUCCCGCCAUGUACUGUCUCAUUCUAUUAAUCCAAUAAACAUAGCUACACCGCCUGGGAACAAGCUCCUUAUAUACCAACAUUGCAAUGUAAUAUCCAGACACUGCCACCUAACUUCCCAACAUCUCCAAUGGACAUGUAGGGGUGUGAGCAGGGGUGGGGCUAUUCUGGGCAAUGUUAGGUGACUUACUCAUUGGAACUACAAUGUAUUUUAUUUACACAGACUGGUUUAUAAAAAUAUUUAUUGCAAAGAACCCGGACUGUGACAUCUCCACUGGGGUUCCGACAGCAGGUGAGUUCUACUUACCCGAACCUGUCCCUCGCAGCCGCUGCCAUUUUCUUUAGGCGGGUCCUCUUCACCGCCAGCACCAAAUGUCAUUGCUGUACUCUCGCGCAUGUGCGAAACUACAGCAAUAAUGUCUAUGGGAAGAGCAAAUUCCCAAUGAGCUUUACUUUGUCUUAUGAUUUUGGUUAGAAAUAGAUGAAAAAGAGAAAGACAGAGUAGAAAAGAGGAUGAAGUAUGAAGAGCAUGUAUCCUUUAAAAAAUAAACAGUGCAGAUUCCAAUAGAAAUAGGGGAAAAUGAAAAACUAUGAAUUUGUCUUGUUACACUUUCUGGCUGUCAGACAACUGCUUCUGUUACUUCCUGGUUUGGUUAGCUGAAUGGAGAUAAACUCAAGAGGCAGCAAUGGCUCAGAGCACCUGCCUUGCAAAUACUUCUCAUUGAAAUGCAUUGGGAAAUCUGUGGUUGGACAGCUUCUUCCACACACAGAAACAUAGCUGCCCUAUGGAUUGGUGGUCUGUCAAGGACUCAGAGCACAUGCUUAUGGUGCCCUGCGUCACUGAUAAGCUCCUUCGUACCGAGAGGAACUCUUAAACUUAACUGCACCUGCUAAAAGUGUAGAUCACAAAGAGAGAGAGAGGGUGCGUGUGUCUCCUCCUCUAUCCCCCCACACGCAGCCAUGUCUGAGUUUGGCCAAAGUGCCUGGUGCUCUAUCAGAUUUCUAUACUGUAGCAGAACCCCUUUUUGACUGUCCCAUUCCUUUCAUUUAUUGUUGGCACUGCAGAGAUUUUCCUGUGCUUGGGGUACACAAAAUUCCAUAUAACUAGAUGUGGCCAUACUUUGUUCGGUAUGAGAAUACCAGCUUACAUGUGAACGACUAAAUUCACCAUACGAACAAAGUACCGAAUGAACUGGACCACCCUGAUGUGAAGAAGUGAUAUAAAUUUAACUCCCUGACUGCUUUUCAUAUUCCCUGUACGCACGAACACAUCGCUGUAUUCCCUGGGUGAUCGGCCUUACGGCAGCCGAACAUGUGGCGGCAGCCAUUUUAAAUCCGCGAACAGCGGUGUUUGGUCGUCGAGUGUCUGGAACUCAAAACAGACACUCGACUAGCAAAACACCGCUAAAACCUCCAGGGCUUCAGAAGGCACGGAUGGAAACCCACGAACGGCGCGGCGUUCGGUAGGAUGAAUCCCACGAACUAGGGGAUUCAUCCGGUUACCGAAUACACUAUGGAUGGUAUAGCAGUUCGGGACUUUUGGGGCACGAAUGGAGACCGACCGCAGGGCCAGAUUUCAUGGAACUAUUUUCGGCUACUUUACCCAUGCAGUCGGUCAAAACAUUACCUUCCCAUAACUCCCGAACCCCUGGUCUGAUCUGGGUAAUUUUUGGAUAUGUUUCUCACCAAGAUCAGGGCUACCAGAGGGUACCAUAUUUAGGGGCAUAUUCCACCUAUUUGGGGUACACCUGAGAAGUGGGGAAAAGUAUGCCUUGUAUAAUUGUGUUAAGUGCUAAUGUAAGGGGAGGAGAUGUGUGGGAGGUAACGUCGAUGGGAUUGGAUAAUGUACUAAUUGUGGUGAAUCCCUCCCUUGCAUGGGAGAAUCUCAUAAAAGCAGGAAUGUUGCCAUUAAAAGUUAGUUCUGCUCCUGAUACUGUGUGUCAUCCAGUGAUUGGGAAAGGUGAUGGGAUAUUAUUGGAUUGUAUUGCUGAUUGUGCUGGAUAUUCUCUUGGAUUUACUACUUGCUCCUGCAUCCUCUUAAUAUAUUGGUGGAGUUUAGCUGUGGGAAAUCAGCUCUUCGUUACAUAUACCUACAUCACUUCCGGUGCACAUGUGUCACUGGAAGUGACUCAAAAUCAGAUGCACGCUAGCAGGUAUCUAGGUAUAGAAUUCUGAUGGGAGGUGCCGCGUGCAUGAACGCGGUUUCCAAAUCACGCGCGAUCAGCUGAGCCACUAUAGAUUUAUAUAUCUGAUGGAUGUGCUGUGCACAUGUGUGGUACACCCAUUAGAUUAGUGGCCUAGCUGAUUGCGUGAUGCCUUCAUCAGAAUUCUAUACCUCGAGGCCUGCUAGUGCAGUGACGCAGGUAUAGAAAUAUGAUAAAAAACCAGCACGCUCUCACUUCCUCCCAGCAGAUGAGAAGUGGACCGUUUGCGCUAUUAAGGAGGCACAGCGCACUACCAGGCCUCAUUAUUAUUGCCAUUUAUAUAGCACCAACAGAUUCUGUAGGGCUUUACAAUAUUAUGAGAGGGGGGAUUUAACUAUAGGUAAGACAAUUACAAAAAUUUUUACAGGAACAAUAGGUUGAAGAGGACCUUCCCUGCUCAAACGAGCUUACAGUCUGUUUCAUGGCACAAGUCCAGCGGGUGGCCCUAAGUGCACAGUGAAACAGUUUGCUCUAUUACCCGGGAAUAAGGACAGGGUACUCCUACCUUCAUUCACACAGUUCCUUUGGGUGAGAAGGAACUGUACGGAUAGUGAAACAUACGAGGCUCAAGCCAGUAUGGUGAAAAAAAAUAAUGGAAAAAGGGUACAGUCAAAAAAUCCUUGAGAAGGAUAUAAAAAAAGUAAAAGCAAUGGAUAGAAAAUCCCUGUUCGAGUACAAACAAAAAAUUCCCUGAAGAGAGACCAAAAAUUCCUUUCAUAUGUGAUUUCAAUAAAAAUAGUAGUAAAAUAAGAAGAAUUUUUAAUAGAUUUUGGCCGAUUUUAAGUGGUAACCUUUUAAAUCAAAUUUUACCAGAAAACCCCCUUGUAAUCCAUAGAGGAGCACCAAACUUUAGGAAGAAAUUGGUUUAUAGCAAUAUAAAAAAAAAAGAUUUAAGGGGCGUGGUUUGACGGCCGCCCUGAAUGGCCGCCUAACCUAUGAGCUCCUGCUCAAUUCACUUGAAAUAGAGCACUUACCAUAGGCAUCGAACCUCACCAACAACUUUGAACGACACAGACUGGCACAGGGACAGAUGCGAAGACACAGCGUAAAAAGAGAGGAGAAUGGAAAGAACCCAAUGUCUCCGUAAUGGACAUGUCUCCUUGCGUCCCUCGAGGCCGCAGCAAGAUGGCCGCCGAGCUAGCCCACGAGGCUCUCUCUCACCGGCCUCGAUGGCGGACAGUGAACCCCACGAUAGCUUGCCAGGAGACACCACACAAAUACUGGCUAAGCUUGCAGAGGUCUGCAGCCUUCUGGCCGGAGAAAUCACCCGCAGCUCCAGGGAGGUUAAAGCUGAGAUACACGCCAUAGGGGCCCGCACCACCCAACUAGAGACCAGAAUUGAGCAAAUAGCACUGGCUCACAACGCAACAGCUGCCUACUCAAACUUCAUGGAGCAACACAAAGCUGAAAUGGAGAUGGAAGACCUUGGAAACAGAUCCAGGCACAACAAUCUCCGGGUGCGGUGCUUACCCGAAAAACAAAACGAAGGCCCUCUACUAACAUUAAUGGAACACUACUUUAAGAACCUACUACCCGAGAUCCCAGAUGACAAGUGGGUUAUAGACAGAAUUGUUUUUAUUAUUAACAUCCCAUGGUCAGAUCAUAAUGCACUUAUAAUGUUAAUUAAAGAUGAUUUUAUUGAAGAUAGAUCAAACUGGCGCUUGAAUGAGCGACUCUUAUAAAAUAUGCCAAAUCUAAGUGUAGUUAAAGAAGCUACUGUUCUUUUUUCAAAAGAGAAUGCUAGUAAAGAAAUUUCUUUUCCUAUGAUUUGGUGUGCCUAUAAAUGUACAGUAAGAGGACAUCUAAUUAAAUUAUGUCAUCUGAAGAAAAAAAAUAAUAAAUUCGAUGAAUUUAGCUGAAUUAUAUAUAGAGCUAGAUCGACUAGAGAAAAUAAAAUAGGCUGGCCCGUCACUAGAAACAUUUAACAAACUUAAAGGGACACUCAAUGAAGUGGUCUGGGUGCCAGGUCCCUCAGGUUUUAACCCUUCAGAUGCAAACAUAGCAGUUUCAGAGAAACUGCUAUGUUUACAUUUGGGGUUAAAACAACCUCUAGUGGCUGUCUUCCGGACAGCCACUAGAGGCGCAUAUGCGACGCUGGAGGCACAUUUUGCCUCCAUCACACAGAGCGUCCAUAGGAAAUCAUUGAGAAAUUCUUUUCUUAUGGACACUUUGAAUGCGCAUUCGGCUACGCUGACGUCGGCGUGGGAGGAGAGGUCACCAGCACCGAGAGAGCCCGGCACUGGAUUAAGGUAAGUUGCUGAAGGGGUUUUAACCCCUUCAGCGCCACGGGAGGGGAACCCUGAGAGACACUGGGCAGCCUUAUUCCGAAUUGAUGGCAAAUUGGUAAACCUCGGGGCUAAAGAAUUGGGCCCACAGGCACAAGGAAAUUAAUCGGUGAGCCUUUCAUGAAAGGCUAAUGCUUAGAAGAAUCUGCUUAACCCUUGGUGGUCACAGGUUCAAUUCCUCAGCACGGUUGACUCAGUCUUUCAGCCCUUUGAGGUAGAUAAAAUGAAUACCAUUAAAUUGGGUAAAAGUUACAUCAAUAGGAUGUACUUGGAAACCAGAAAAUAUCCAAAUGUCUCCUUCCUUGUCAAACAUUUUUACUUACCACCAUUUCAAGAUGGAAGGUAUCCAUCUAUCCAAGAUGCCUACCUGCCUGUACCAGUAGAAAAUGGCAGUCGUCCCUCCUUAUGGUUCCUCUGGAACGGGACGCCAUGGCAAUUCACCUGCCUCACCUUCGGGCUCAGUUCGGCACCACGGUGCUUUACAAAACUUUCUGAAACCAGUGAUGGCUCACUUACGGGGUCAAGGCAUACGAUGCCUGGACGACAUUUUACUCUCCGACCAGAAUCACAACCACCUUCUUUCACCAGUACCCAUGAUGUAAGAAAUCCGACAAGAACUUCAAUGAUGGCUCGACAGUAUAAAUGCCUGGAAUUGUUGGCAGGUGUCUCUGCUAUACGAAAUCUAAGAAAAGGGAGAUCUGAUUGUAUCCUGCUAUGCAUGGACAAUUUCUACGAAGUUCGUCACAUCAACCACUUAUUUGGCAUUUGUUCUCACAUACUGACGCACCUCACAAAGGAAAUCUUCCACUGUUGCCUACCACACAAUAUCACAGUGAUGGAGGAACAUCUUACAGGGGAAACCUCUCGACACUGGAGGGACAACGAUUGGCACCGAGCUCCACACAUAUUGGCAACACUGAACAACCUGAUAGAUCUGCUCAUGAUCGACUUUUCACAUCUAGCACCAACCGCCAACUAACGAUUUUCUACAGCUGAUUACCAGACAUGGAGGGUGCAGGGGUAGAUGCAUUCCUGCAGGCAUGGCCGACCGAAGAGGCAUUUCCACCCUUUGCAAUGAUCGCGAGAGUGGUUCACCACAUCAGAUCACUGGAAGUGGCAAGCCCCCUGAUGACGCUCCGGUGGCAGAGUCAUCCUUGGUCCCCAGAUCUCCUCGCGCUGUUAUACCAGGACCCUCCACUAUUAACACAUGAUACUCACGGAUUUCAUGGGGAAUCCUCAUCCCAUGCUACAAGAAGGACAUCUCUCUCUAGUGGCAUGGAGUUUUUCGGGGGUGUUUGAUGCACCGAUGACUUAUCGUCAACUGAUAGAGAUAUACUCCGGGACUUAAGAGGAAGUGUUACCUCUCAGCUUGGAAUUCAUGGGUCAAUUGGUUGAAUUUCGGACAUUCGAGCAUUCCACGUGGACGCCUUCUCGUUUUCUCUGGAAGGUGUCACUCUUCAGGUGUCUCAACAUACAAAUGAACUCAACGCCGUUUUUUUUUACCCAUUUUUUUCCAUCGGAACCCAACUUUACAUGGUCCAGACACUGCACGCCUACGUACAGCUACGACCAAACUACAAUUACCUCUUCCCGACAAUUAUAGGUGUCCUAUGUUAAGCCACAUGGGCAAAUCUUGCUUACCACUUUGACCCCCUGAGUACGAUGGCUUCUCCUGCUGGGAUUGACCAUUCCUUCGGUGCGCACUCAGUUUGGGGUGCGGCGGCCUUUUCCGCCUUCACAGCGGGGGCCUCCUUAUCAGAUAUAUUGCUCUUGUCAGACUGGUGACAAGAAUCCACCUUUCGGAUGUUUUACUCUCGCCUGUCCUCCAUUGUCGCUUUCUCUCUAUUACCUUAGCGUUAAAAAUGCAAAAUAUGAAGCCUCCUCUCAUGGGAUAAAAUUGAAGAUUAUGUUAGCUUUAGUGUACUAAAAAUCUUAAUAAUGACAGGAGGCAAGUAUUUCCCCCCCCUUGAAUUUAUCUCCCAUUCAGGUGGGUUCACAUCUCCAGGUAGGUGAUGUAUGUUAUCAAUAUGGGACUAGUAGUUUUCUUGUGACUGCGUAAUUGACUCCAUUCAUACUAGAUGGAAAGGGGUUGUUUUUUUCCAUAUAUAGUUGAUAUAUGUAUAGAUAUUCUAUAUUAGGUAGCUAUAUCAUGGUAUGUAGGUUACAUUUUAUAGAUCACGAUAGUGCAAAAUAUUGCGCACCUUUUAUGUGAGGGUUACUCAUAUUGUUCAAGUUUACAUUUCAUAUCACUAAAAUGCUCUCGGUCUCUUUCAGCUUAAAAGACACAAAGAGAUCUUCCCGAGCAAGCGUACAAGGAUAUUCGUUGUCAGUUUUGAAUGAUUCCAACCGUUUUUCAUCGCUCCUGGAAUUUGAAUGGUCUUCGUUAUUGCGUAUGGUUCUUCAGUUGAUUGUGUGACUUGUGAUGUCGCUGUUAUCAAGAGGAAGUGACUCAGUGGAAGGUGUAUCUUAUACUCUCUGCCUGUCUCUGAUUGGUUCCUUUUUUUCUGUCUUUGCGGCUAUGGAGUAGUAAAGUAAGAUUAUGCAAAA